AUUGAACGCUGGCGGAAUGCUUUACACAUGCAAGUCGAACGGCAGCACGGGAGCUUGCUCCUGGUGGCGAGUGGCGUACGGGUGAGUAAUACAUCGGAACGUGCCCUAUCGUGGGGGAUAACACAUCGAAAGAUGUGCUAAUACCGCAUACGACCUGAGGGUGAAAGGGGGGAUCGCAAGACCUCUCGCGGUUGGAGCGGCCGAUGUCGGAUUAGCUAGUUGGUGGGGUAAAGGCCUACCAAGGCGACGAUCCGUAGCUGGUCUGAGAGGAUGAUCAGCCACACUGGGACUGAGACACGGCCCAGACUCCUACGGGAGGCAGCAGUGGGGAAUUUUGGACAAUGGGGGCAACCCUGAUCCAGCCAUUCCGCGUGAGUGAAGAAGGCCUUCGGGUUGUAAAGCUCUUUCGGCAGGAACGAAACGGUGGGUCCUAAUACGAUCUGCUAAUGACGGUACCUGAAGAAGAAGCACCGGCUAACUACGUGCCAGCAGCCGCCGUAAGAC
rnacentral:rRNA from 1 species